rnacentral:misc_RNA from 1 species
UACUCGACUGGAAGAGCCUGCACCUGGUGUAACGACUAUAGUUAGAUGUUGUGAAGACUGAAGAACAAACACAAGAUAAAUCCAAAAUGAACAAACACGUAGGAAUUUAGCCCAAAACAGAUUUGAAGGCAGCUAGACAAUGAUGCAUUUAAAAGAGCUCAAGAUCGUAAUGGAUUUUGCAUAUUUCUUUCAGACAACUCCAAAACUUUUCCAGCUCAAACAGAUAUUUAAAAGUUAGAGAGAGAGAGAGAGAG